UACGUAGGGGGCAAGCGUUGUCCGGAUUUAUUGGGCGUAAAGCGCGUGUAGGCGGCCAGGUAGGUCGGUUGUGAAAAUUGGAGGCUCAACCUCCAGACGUCGAUCGAAACCAUCUGGCUAGAGUCCGGAAGAGGAGAAUGGAAUUCCAGGUGUAGCGGUGAAAUGCGUAGAUAUCUGGAGGAACACCGGUGGCGAAGGCGGCAUCCUGGACCAACACUGACGCUGAGGAGCGAAAGCCAGGGGAGCAAACGGG
rnacentral:rRNA from 1 species